rnacentral:rRNA from 1 species
UACGGGGGGAGCAAGCGUUGUUCGGAUUUACUGGGCGUAAAGGGCGCGUAGGCGGUCAGCACAAGUCAAUUGUGAAAUCUCCGAGCUUAACUCGGAAAGGUCAACUGAAACUGUGCGACUAGAGUGCAGAAGGGGCAACUGGAAUUCUUGGUGUAGCGGUGAAAUGCGUAGAUAUCAAGAGGAACACCUGCGGCGAAGGCGGGUUGCUGGGCUGACACUGACGCUGAAGCGCGAAAGCCAGGGGAGCGAACGGG